AGUAACGCGUGGGUAACCUGCCUUGUACUGGGGGACGAACAGUUGGAAACGACUGCUAAUACCGCAUAAGCGCACAGCUUCGCAUGAAGCAGCGUGAAAAACUCCGGUGGUACAAGAUGGACCCGCGUCUGAUUAGCUGGUUGGUGAGGUAACGGCUCACCAAGGCAACGAUCAGUAGCCGGCCUGAGAGGGUGAACGGCCACAUUGGGACUGAGACACGGCCCAA
rnacentral:rRNA from 1 species